rnacentral:rRNA from 1 species
AUUGAACGCUGGCGGCAUGCCUUACACAUGCAAAUCGAACGGUAGCGGGCCUUCGGGUGCCGACGAGUGGCGAACGGGUGAGUAAUGUAUCGGAACGUACCUUUCAGUGGGGGAUAACGUAGCGAAAGUUGCGCUAAUACCGCAUAUUCUGUGAGCAGGAAAGCAGGGGAUCGCAAGACCUUGCGCUGAUUGAGCGGCCGAUAUCAGAUUAGCUAGUUGGUGAGGUAAAGGCUCACCAAGGCGACGAUCUGUAGCGGGUCUGAGAGGAUGAUCCGCCACACUGGAACUGAGACACGGUCCAGACUCCGACGGGAGGCAGCAGUGGGGAAUUUGGGACAAUGGGGGCAACCCUGAUCCAGCCAUGCCGCGUGAGUGAAGAAGGCCUUCUGGUUGUAAACCGCUUUUGGCAGGAACGAAACGGCGACUCCUAAUACCCUGUGCGGAUGACGGUACCGGCAUAAGAAGCACCGGCUAACUACGUGCCAGCAGCCGCCGUAACAC